CUUUGCCUAAUGUCCUAUCUGAUGGGCCAUUCUAUGUAUUAUAUGCUACAUAAUCUCCACAAAUGUAUACUGUGGUCCAUAAAACUGCCAUACUGUUUUCAGAAACUAGUAAUUCACAAAGUAAACCUGAGACAGUGCUGUUAAUAAACACAAAUUGCAAACAAGAAGGUAGUAAGUGGAAAUAAUGCACUCAUUUAGGAGCAAUAAAGCCUUUGAUCUUACUUUGAAGGAAAGAGUCCAUGUUGAAACUACCCAUUCAGGGACAGCCAGAUGCCCAUAAAGAGCAAGGCUUGCUUUGAUAGAAAAUCGCUGAGGCCUGUCUAGCAGGUCUGGUUUGUAAACAGAUUAGUUAAGGGCUCAUCAGGACUGAUUUGCAUAGGCUUCAGCGAGCCCCACUUUUUCAACCUUAAUGAGCAAUGCCAUUUCCAGGUUGGAAAUUACACUUUUUUUUUUUUUUCUAGCUAGAAAUCUUAGGUAAUUACUUUGUGGGAAAGGGAAAGAAUAUUCAUAUAAAGGGAACCCUUGCUGUCCUCAGCUAAUGGGAAAAUGAUGACCUAAGACUUGUUUUGCUUGCUCCAAAUGGUGAAUGAUAUAAUGAACGAAAUAGGUUAUGCGUUUAAAAUGUGGUUACAAAGAGGUUUUCCUCCCUUUCUCUGUUAUUUGAGAGAUAAAAGAGGAUUAAUCCAAAUUAUAAUAGAAAAGGUAACAUGGGACUGCAGACUCAGACUACAAAUAUUUAUUUAUCUGCAGAUUUUUAUGGAGGACCUCCUUGGAGCCAGGCUGUGUUCUAGGGGCCUCCUAUCCCUCAGUGCUCAAGGCAGACAAAGGCCCUGCCCUCAUGGAGCCUGCCCUCCAGAGCCUACCACUGUGGAGAAAAGGGAACAGUAAAGGAAAGGAGUUGAGCCAGUUUAAGCACGUAUUCUGAAAUCUCUACUUGUUAGCAGCCGUUUGCUUGAGAGAUGGCAAGACCAGUAUUUCCAGAGAGAAAAGACCCUCUGAUCAAUCUAAUUGCACUUUUAUUUUCAAUUCUCAGAAUAAUCAGUAAUUGCCUUGCUGUCAGUAAUCAAGAAUAUCUCCUAUCCUUAAAUUUUGUAGUGAAAAAAAUGUCAAAAGAAAACCUUUGCUUACUCUGGUCAUUUAAUAGAUAACAAAUGGAGCAGCUCAGUAGGGACAAAGGGUAGCUUUGAAAGUAAACAGUUCCCAAAUAAAAUGAAAUGAUAUCAGAAAUUUUCAACUCUGACCUUCUGAAAGUGCCAUGAGGUUGUGGUGGACAACGGUCUGUUUCUUUGUCUGGCUUGCGGCAACGUCGUUCUGCUUAUGAGAGAUCUUUGUAGGUAUUGUAAACACUGGUGACACUGACUUGCUCAGUUGGGAACUUGGGUUUAAAUAACAACCUUCAGCUUCAGCCUUUGUGUCCUGCCUUGUCAAGGCCAAGGACCUCAGCCGUCUGCUGCUUCCUAGAAGUGAGAUCAAAUCAGCACACUCCCAUAAAUGUCACCUUGGAUACAUUCCACUCUGAAAAACAACGGUCCAGCUCUGAUUUAUGAAAUAUCUCAACUAGAUGUGGCAAUGAGAAUGUGCUCAACUGUCUUCAGCAGUGGAAAAGAAAAUGAUAUACUCCAAGA
rnacentral:lncRNA from 1 species